rnacentral:rRNA from 1 species
UACGUAGGUGGCAAGCGUUGUCCGGAAUUAUUGGGCUUAAAGCGCGCGCAGGUGGUUUCUUAAGUCUGAUGUGAAAGCCCACGGCUCAACCGUGGAGGGUCAUUGGAAACUGGGGAACUUGAGUGCAGGAGAGAAGAGUGGAAUUCCACGUGUAGCGGUGAAAUGCGUAGAGAUGUGGAGGAACACCAGUGGCGAAGGCGACUCUUUGGCCUGUAACUGACACUGAGGCGCGAAAGCGUGGGGAGCAAACAGG